rnacentral:rRNA from 1 species
GACGAACGCUGGCGGCGUGCUUAACACAUGCAAGUCGAACGGAAAGGCCCUGCUUUUGUGGGGUGCUCGAGUGGCGAACGGGUGAGUAACACGUGAGUAACCUGCCCUUGACUUUGGGAUAACUUCAGGAAACUGGGGCUAAUACCGGAUAGGAGCUCCUGCUGCAUGGUGGGGGUUGGAAAGUUUCGGCGGUUGGGGAUGGACUCGCGGCUUAUCAGCUUGUUGGUGGGGUAGUGGCUUACCAAGGCUUUGACGGGUAGCCGGCCUGAGAGGGUGACCGGCCACAUUGGGACUGAGAUACGGCCCAGACUCCUACGGGAGGCAGCAGUGGGGAAUAUUGCACAAUGGGCGGAAGCCUGAUGCAGCAACGCCGCGUGCGGGAUGACGGCCUUCGGGUUGGAAACCGCUUUCGCCUGUGACGAAGCGUGAGUGACGGUAAUGGGUAAAGAAGCACCGGCGAACUACGU